UACAGAGGGGGCUAGCGUUGUUCGGAAUUACUGGGCGUAAAGGGCGCGUAGGCGGCCUGUUAAGUCGAACGUGAAAUCCCCGGGCUCAACCCCGGGAACUGCGUCCGAUACUGGUAGGCUUGAAUCCGGGAGAGGGAUGUGGAAUUCCAGGUGUAGCGGUGAAAUGCGUAGAUAUCUGGAGGAACACCGGUGGCGAAGGCGGCAUCCUGGACCGGCAUUGACGCUGAGGCGCGAAAGCGUGGGUAGCAAACAGG
rnacentral:rRNA from 1 species